UACGGGGGGAGCAAGCGUUGUCCGGAUUUACUGGGCGUAAAGGGAGUGUAGGCGGGAUUGUAAGUCGGCGGUGAAAUUUUUCGGCUUAACCGGAAAACCGCCGUCGAUACUGCAAUUCUUGAGUGCGGAAGAGGAAAGUGGAAUUCCUGGUGUAGCGGUGAAAUGCGUAGAUAUCAGGAAGAACACCGGUAGCGAAGGCGGCUUUCUGGUCCGCUACUGACGCUGAUACUCGAAAGCGUGGGGAGCAAACAGG
rnacentral:rRNA from 1 species